rnacentral:rRNA from 1 species
UACGGAAGGCAGCAGUGGGGAAUAUUGCACAAUGGGCGAAAGCCUGAUGCAGCUAUGCCGCGUGUAUGAAGAAGGCCUUAGGGUUGUAAAGUACUUUCAUCGGGGAGGAAAAACAAAACUAAUAAUUUUAUUUCUUGACGUUACCCGAAAAAGAAGCACCGGCUAACUCCGUGCCAGCAGCCGCGGUAAUACGGAGGGUGCUAGCGUUAAUCAGAAUUACUGGGCGUAAAGAGCACGUAGGUGGUUUUUUUAAGUCAGAUGUGAAAUCCCUGGGCUUAACCUAGGAACUGCAUUUUGAAACUGAAAAUACUAGAGUAUCGUAGAGGGAGGUAGAAUUCUAGGUGUAGCGGUGAAAUGCGUAGAUAUCUGGAGGAAUACCUGUGGCGAAAAGCGGCCUCCUAAAACGAAUAACUGACACUGAGGUGCGAAAAGCGUGGGGAGCAAAACAGGGAUUAGAUACC